GUUGAGAGAGAGCUUUGCUUGCAAGAAUUGCUCCACGCCAUCUUGCUUGCCUUUGUUCAAUCUUUUUUCAUGAGCAUAUAGAGACCCAUUCAAUUGAUCAAUGGAUAUAGCAUCUAAAUCUUUGGACUCUUCCAUGACAACAACAAUAUGCUCAAACUCUGAAUUGAGCGAGCGAAGAGUCUUCUCCAUAGCACAAACA
rnacentral:lncRNA from 1 species